GAAAUGCGAUAAGUAAUGUGAAUUGCAGAAUUCAGUGAAUCAUCGAAUCUUUGAACGCACAUUGCGCCCCCUGGUAUUCCGGGGGGCAUGCCUGUUCGAGCGUCAUUUACACCACUCAAGCUCUGCUUGGUCUUGGGAUGCACCGGUCACCCGGCGUUCCCUAAUUCUAGUGGCGGCUGUCUUGUGUUCCCAGCGUAGUAUUAAGCCUCGCUGUGGUGCCAGGGCAAACUGUCCAUAAGCCUAUUUUUCAGGUUGACCUCGGAUCAGGUAGGAAUACCCGCUGAACUUAA
rnacentral:misc_RNA from 1 species